ACGCACGCUGGCGGCGUGCCUAAUCCAUGCAAGUCGAGCGGACGGAUGGGAGCUUGCUCCCAGACCGUCAGCGGCGGACGGGUGAGUAGCACGUGGGCAACCUGCCUGUAAGACUGGGAUAACUCCGGGAAACCGGGGCUAAUACCGGAUAACUCUUUCCCUCACAUGAGGGAAAGCUGAAAGAUGGCAUCUCGCUAUCACUUACAGAUGGGCCCGCGGCGCAUUAGCUAGUUGGUGAGGUAACGGCUCACCAAGGCGACGAUGCGUAGCCGACCUGAGAGGGUGAUCGGCCACACUGGGACUGAGACACGGCCCAGACUCCUACGGGAGGCAGCAGUAGGGAAUCUUCCGCAAUGGACGAAAGUCUGACGGAGCAACGCCGCGUGAGUGAUGAAGGUUUUCGGAUCGUAAAACUCUGUUGUCAGGGAAGAACAAGUACCGGAGUAACUGCCGGUACCUUGACGGUACCUGACCAGAAAGCCACGGCUAACUACGUG
rnacentral:rRNA from 1 species